rnacentral:lncRNA from 1 species
GUUACAUUAAAAUGCUCAAUUAACUCCCUCCUCCUCCCCCCCAUUAGAAGAGUCAUCACAUGAAUAUAUAUAUAUAUAUAUAUAUAUACAUAUAUAUAUAUAUAUAUAUAUAUACACACAACUAUGUCUUACUUGUUUCUAUUUUUCAGUUCUUUCCCUGGAGGUGGACAUACACAAGUCAUCCUUCAAACAAUAUUUCCAUUGCUGUUUACAAUGUUCUCUUGGUUCUGCUCGUUUCACUCUUCAUAUUUCAGAUUUCUUUUUCUGAAUAUAUCUCUACUCAGAUGAGGAUCAAUGGAGAAAAGAACACAGAAGGAAUGAUUCUGAACCCAAGGCAUGGAACUGGUAGCUAUUCCCUGUAUUUUAUAAUAGGAAAAAGGACUGAACUUGGGAAUUUGCUGACAUAGAGAACUCCCAGGUGAAGAAAUUUCCUCCACUAAUACAGGUCAAUAUAGAGUUGCCUGGUGGGUACUAGAAAAAGUUAAGUGACUUCCACAAGGUUUCUUGGACAGCAUGUGCCAAAGGUGGAACUUAAACCCAGAAAUUUCUAGCUUGGAGGUCAACUCUAUCCAUUAUACACUGGCUUUUGCACCAGCAACACAUUUUGGCAACACUGUUGAUUAUUUUGGAAGAUGGAAACUAACCUGUAUGUGGAGAAUAAAGGAGUGUUCAUGGAGAGCUACUUGGAAGUU